UGGAGGCAGCAGUGAGGAAUCUUGCGCAAUGGCCUAACGGCUGACGCAGCGACGCCGCGUGAGGGAUGACGCUCUUCGGAGUGUAAACCUCUUUUGCCCGGGACGAAUUGCCAACUUCAGUUGGCUUGACGGUACCGGGUGAAUAAGCACCGGCUAACUCCGUGCCAGCAGCCGCGGUAAUACGGGGGGUGCGAGCGUUGUCCGGAAUCACUGGGCGUAAAGGGCGCGUAGGUGGUCUUAUAAGGGUGUGGUGAAAGCCCGGGGCUCAACCCCGGGUCGGCCGUGCCGACUGUAAGACUAGAGUGCUGUAGGGGCAGGCGGAAUUCCGGGUGUAGCGGUGGAAUGCGUAGAGAUCCGGAGGAAGACCGGUGGCGAAGGCGGCCUGCUGGGCAGUUACUGACACUGAGGCGCGACAGCGUGGGGAGCAAACAGGAUUAGAUACCCUAGUAGUCU
rnacentral:rRNA from 1 species